AUGAGUGAAUGAAUAUCAGGUUCUUAUCACUCUUUCUCUUCCACGACCAAAUCACACACAAACAAAUGAAAUAAACCUUCAUCUUUCUCAUUCAAUACAAACUCUAAACAAACAAAAAAAUCACAUAAUUGAAACAGAGCGCAAGACGUACCAACGAUGGCAGGAAGGGCGGAAUCCGGCGCAGAGGCUUAGCUCCUCGGUAAUGACUUUGAGCUGAUGGCAUUGUGACGGCGUGAAGGAAGAGAGGAUCGAGCCAUCGAAGCUGUCCGGUGGUGCUGCGCGCGAUGGAGAGAUUGUCGGUUGUGUUGGUCGCGUGUUAUGGUAAUGCGGUGAUAUCAGAAGCUGCGACGGCGUGCUAUCGGAGGUGGAAGGCGUGUUGCCAGAGAAAAGGGGCAAUCUCGCGGCGGUGAUGGUUUGUUUGGCCUUGCAUCGGCGGAGUGAAGAGUUGAACGGCGGCGCUGCCUGUCUGGUCUUGGAUCUAGCCGGAUGUGCUUCUUGUUGUUGUAGUUCUAGAUCUGGCCGUGAUACUUCAAGGAAGGGAGGGAUGUCAUGAAGUUAUUACGGACCAUGACGGUAAUUUGUGGUUUUAUGGUGUGUUUGUUGAUGUUGAUUGAGAUGGAUCGGCGUUCACGGCUGGAAUACGGAGGCUGCGGUGACGGAUUUUUGCUCACGUUUCUUCUUCUGUUUCUAAAAAAAAUAAAACAAUGUUACAAAUUGUACUAUAAUCUUUACCAUGGGGUUUUGAUUGAAGGUUAUGAGGAUGAUGGCAUUGAGUUAAGUUGAAGCUUUACAAGUUUGAAAGUUCAGAGCAAUGUGUACUUGCGUCAGGGUGAUUCAUGGUUGAGAAGUUUCGGUUUAUCAUUUGGAAUGUUUGUUAAUGUUUCAUGAAGGAAUUAAUUUUUGAGUGGUGAUUGUAGAAUGUAAGGGUCGAGAUUGUAUUGUGAAUGAAAGGGUCAGGUUUGUUAGACCAUUUACAAUGGGGGUGUUGAAAAAAUUAUUCAAUAGUUGAAUGUCUACAAUGGUUUGUUGAAUGAGGUGUUUAAUGUGAUGUGGAUUAAUUGGUGUUGAAAA